rnacentral:rRNA from 1 species
UCCAGACUCCUACGGGAGGCAGCAGUGAGGAAUAUUGGUCAAUGGGCGGAAGCCUGAACCAGCCAAGUCGCGUGAGGGAAGAAGGCCCUGCGGGUCGCAGACCUCUUUGGACGGGGAGCAAGGCCGCCGACGUGUCGGCGGAAGGAGAGUACCCGUAGAACAAGCAUCGGCUAACUCCGUGCCAGCAGCCGCGGUAAUACGUAGGGAGCAAGCGUUAUCCGGAUUUACUGGGUGUAAAGGGCGCGUAGGCGGGAUGGCAAGUCAGAUGUGAAAUCCAAGGGCUCAACCCUUGAACUGCAUUUGAAACUGUCGUUCUUGAGUACUGGAGAGGUUGACGGAAUUCCUAGUGUAGCGGUGAAAUGCGUAGAUAUUAGGAGGAACACCAGUGGCGAAGGCGGUCAACUGGACAGCAACUGACGCUGAGGCGCGAAAGCGUGGGGAGCAAACAGGAUUAGAUACCCCUGUA